rnacentral:rRNA from 1 species
UACAGAGGUGGCAAGCGUUGUUCGGAAUUACUGGGCGUAAAGGGCGCGUAGGCGGCCAUCUAAGUCAGACGUGAAAUCCCCCGGCUUAACCUGGGAACUGCGUCUGAUACUGGACGGCUUGAGUAUGGGAGAGGGAUGUAGAAUUCCAGGUGUAGCGGUGAAAUGCGUAGAUAUCGCUUGGAACGCCAACGGUGAAAACAGGCUGCUGGGGGUGUGCUGACGCUGAGACACGAAAGCCAGGGGAGCGAACGGG